rnacentral:rRNA from 1 species
UACGGGGGGGGCAAGCGUUGUUCGGAAUUACUGGGCGUAAAGGGCUCGUAGGCGGCCAACUAAGUCAGACGUGAAAUCCCUCGGCUUAACCGGGGAACUGCAUCUGAUACUGGAUGGCUUGAGUUCGGGAGAGGGAUGCGGAAUUCCAGGUGUAGCGGUGAAAUGCGUAGAUAUCUGGAGGAACACCGGUGGCGAAGGCGGCAUCCCGGACCGACACUGACGCUGAGGAGCGAAAGCCAGGGGAGCAAACGGG